AAUAAUUUUUAUAAAAAAUAUUUUAUAUAUAUAUAUAAUUUAUUAUCAAAUCAGUUAAAAAUACUGGAAUACAAGUAUAUAUAUCAUCUUUCUACCACAACUCAGGGCUGUUGUGGGACUAGCAUUAAUGGUUCAAAUAUACAGGCUUUACAGUUUAAAUUGGGCUCCUUGCAUAUAUUAAAUAAGCUUGCAUGAUAAAAUCUGCUAAAAAUCAUUUAAUAAGGGUACCCUAGCUAAUACCAGCUCUGAACUUGUAUUUGUACCCUCAUAUGCAAAAAACCAAUGAAGAGCUUUAUUAUUAUUAUAAUUUUCCAUUCAAAAAAUUAAUGAAAUCUGUCACGCAAUGAAUUACCUGUAAGAGCUGUUUGGCAAGG
rnacentral:misc_RNA from 1 species